AAAAGCCUGGGGCUCAAUGAACACCCACUCCAUCGUCUGGUUGUCCUCCUCUUUCAGAACCAUCUCGAUCUCAUUGGCGCUGUACGUCUGAGAGCUGAACACAGGGAGGAAACAACAACUCCUUCACAAAAAAGAUGUCGUUUCAACUCACCGGAAGACCAUGGUGCAGUUCUGCCAGUCGAAGGGGAAGUAGUUGACCGUGAUGGGACAAGCGCUGCGGUAGAUGGCGGGUGGCAGCCAGUACACGCAGCCGUUAGGAGACACCAGGGCGUUGCAGUAGAGAGCUACUUCAAACUGUCCGUCCACGCUACAAACAAAAAGGAGGCUCAGAUACAGUGUACAUUAUUUAACCCAAUAUUUAUUUAUUGAGCUGUGGCACCCACUUGUUCUCCAGUAUUAUGUCUGGCAGCCAGAUGCUCUUGGAGGGGACCCGCAGGUCAGAGGUGAUGUUUCCGUACAGAUGUGACCUGGGUGGCUGGUCCCAUCUCAGCCUGUAGUCGCACCAUUGCUACAGUCCGUGCACAAAACUGUGGGCUCAACGCUUGGCCUUUUUAAAUGAUCAACAAUAAGCAUCGAGGCAGCGAACGUGCAUGGUUACCAGUUCGAUCCAGACGUUGGUCGUCAGAGCCUCUUCCUUUUCGUUCUGCGAGGAGACAGUUUGGGAAAACGCGUCAACUCAAAGGCCGGUGUGGCCGCUGGCGCUGAUGGAGGCCACUCACCAGGGAGAUGAGAUCCGCAAAGAGUUCCCCCUCGAGGUUGAGCGCCGCCGCUGCAGACGGAACACACGCGGGUCAGAGCAGGACAGCGUGGCAGAACGAAGUGGAACGGUUCACAACGCCGCAACAUUGAAUUAUAAACUGGGCUCGGCAAAAAUUUCGACAUCCAGAUUCCAUAGCAGCAAGUUAUAUAAAGAACUGUGUAUGAGGUGUAGCCGUGGGUCGGUUAGUCAGCAUUCCUACC